rnacentral:Y_RNA from 1 species
GGCUGGUCUGAUGGUAGUGGGUUAUCAGAACUUAUUAACAGUACUGUCACUAAAGUUGGUAUUCAACCCCCCACUGCUAAAUUUGACUGGCUUUAA